UACGUAGGGGGCAAGCGUUGUCCGGAUUUAUUGGGCGUAAAGAGCGUGUAGGCGGUUUGGUAGGUCCGCUGUGAAAACUCGAGGCUCAACCUCGAGACGCCGGUGGAAACCAUCAGGCUAGAGUCCGGAAGAGGAGAGUGGAAUUCCCGGUGUAGCGGUGAAAUGCGUAGAGAUCGGGAGGAACACCGGUGGCGAAGGCGGCCAGCUGGCGCUGACCUGACGCUGAGGCGCGAAGGCGUGGGGAGCGAACGGG
rnacentral:rRNA from 1 species